rnacentral:rRNA from 1 species
AUGAACGCUGGCGGCGUGCCUAAUACAUGCAAGUCGAACGCUGGAAAUCUAGCUUGCUAGAUUGAAGGAGUGGCGAACGGGUGAGUAAUACAUAAGCAACCUACCCACGAAGACUGGGAUAAUCUCUGGAAACGGGGACUAAUACCGGAUAGGUAAUCGGAAGGCAUCUUCUGAUUAUUAAAGGUUAAAAACACUGGUGGAUGGGCUUAUGGCGCAUUAGUUAGUUGGUGAGGUAACGGCCCACCAAGACGAUGAUGCGUAGCCGGCCUGAGAGGGUGAACGGCCACAUUGGGACUGAGACACGGCCCAGACUCCUACGGGAGGCAGCAGUAGGGAAUUGUCGGCAAUGGGGGAAACCCUGACCGAGCAACGCCGCGUGAGUGAUGACGGCCUUCGGGUUGUAAAGCUCUGUUGUAAGGGAAGAACGGUAGAUAGAGAAUAUCUAAAUGACGGUACCUUACCAGAAAGCCACGGCUAACUACGUG